GUUGAUUUAAGUCAAAUUGAAUUUGAUUGUGUAUUGAGUUACUUGUGUCGAAUUGUGGGAUGAUAUUGAAUUUAAACAAAAUAUUGAAUUUACUGGAGUUGUGGAUAAAUAAAAUAUUAGAAGUAUUUUUCACAGGUUUUUAAAGAAUUAUUUCCAAACUAUAGACAACAUUCUGCCGAAUUUUCUGAAAAAUUUGCGAAGAGUUGAAAU
rnacentral:misc_RNA from 1 species